rnacentral:rRNA from 1 species
CGGGGGGAGCAAGCGUUGUUCGGAUUUACUGGGCGUAAAGGGCGCGUAGGCGGCACCGCAAGUCGACUGUGAAAUCUCCGGGCUUAACUCGGAAAGGUCAGCCGAUACUGCGGGGCUAGAGUGCAGAAGGGGCAACUGGAAUUCUCGGUGUAGCGGUGAAAUGCGUAGAUAUCGAGAGGAACACCUGCGGCGAAGGCGGGUUGCUGGGCUGACACUGACGCUGAUGCGCGAAAGCUAGGGGAGCGAACGGGAUUAGAUACCCCGGUAGUCCUAGCCUUAAGCGAUGAAUGCUUGGUGUCGUGGGUUUAUAGGUCCCCGGUGCCGUCGCUAACGCUUUAAGCAUUCCGCCUGGGGAGUACGGUCGCAAGACUG